rnacentral:lncRNA from 1 species
AGCCAACAAGAGGAAAGGGACGCAACUGCAUAAAAAGCUGUAAACUGCACAAAAUGAUAUUGAUGCCUGCCUUUAGGUAGCACUUUUAGUUUCCAAAGUGCUUUGAGUUUUAAGUCGUCUUACUUUAUCCCAAUCAUAAUAGCCCACAUGUUUGCAUACUUUACUGACUGCUUUGAUUGCAAGAGAAAUCAAUGGAGGUAGUGAGAUUGACUUUCCAGAACUUUUUAUAAAAAAGAAAAAAAGUAUUAGAGACUAGUAACACUGAAAUUUUUAUUCCUGGGAAUUGAACCCCAGGUGUUCUACCACUGAGCUACAUCUCCAGCUCUUUUUAUUUUUAUUUUAUUUUUUAUUUAUGUCUCACUAAGUUGCUGAGUCUGGCCUAGAACUUGUGACCCUCCUGCCUUAGCCUAGCCAAAUCACUGGGAUUAUGAGCGUAUGCUACCUUGCCCAGCAUACAACUUUUUAAAAUAGGUUGUGGAAAUAUUAAACCAAGCACGAGUUUUAAAUAUUGUAUGACCCAUUGCCAAGGAAGUACAUUUAGAAGAAUAUUUCAGUAGCAUUAGGGAUGGUCUAUAUAUAUAGGUCCAUGUCCUUCAUAUGUAUUUGUGGUUCAUGGCUAUACAUUCAGAUAAAUGAAUUCAGUUAGAUCUUGCCAUGUAAUCGCAUAGUCCACCUGUAAGAAACUACCUUUGUUCAACUGUCAAGAAUAAGUGUAUACAAUCUAUAGGUCAUAGUUUGUUGUUUUUAAUUAAUACACCAAACCAAUAUCAUCUCACUUGAACAUACUGUCCCUUUUUGGAAAUUCACCAAAAUCUAGUAGAGAAAAUAGACCUUUGAAACUAAAAGGGUACAGACAAUCCAUUUAAAUUGUAAACUUACCUUAGAUAUACCUUAUUUCUUAGAUAUACCAUAUUGUUUUAUGUCAAUUUAAAGGAUCAGAAAGGAUUAAUCAUUACUAAUCUCAUUCUGUCUCAGUAAUUCCAAGGAAUAUAGCAAAUUCCUAUUGCAUUCUGUAGAAUUUUUCUUAGGUAUUAUUUCAGAAGAGCAAUGUGUUCCCCUGUACAAACAAACAAAAUAGCUCCCUUUUCUGCAUUAUCACACUUAGAAGGUCUACUUACUGCUUGUUACAUGUUGUGAUUAUGUUCUACCAUAUUUCUCUCCUGGCCUUUAAUUUUUUUUUUUUUUUUGAUUCUGAAGCACUCUUAAACAAGGGUAAAGAAACCAUAGGGUCACCUGGGUGCAAACUAUCUUACCUUAGUUUAUUUAAUGACUAGUGUAGUAAAUAGAGCUGUUAACCUCACAUAACACUCAGCAGUAUCUUAGUUCCCUUAUUUAAUAGAAUGCUUAGAUGUCACUAUUAGUAUGGAUACUCAAAAGCAACUCAUUGGUCAGGUAGCCAGAAACUUAUGUUGUUUUGGUGGAAUUCCACAGUGCUCAUGUAAGUCAAGUUUAUAGGUCACCAACAGUUUUAUUGAAAGAUCAGAAAAAAUGAGAAAUAUGAAAUGGUGCAUGUCAAGCAAUAUUGUUUUAUGUGUGUGAAACAAGUCUUUGUAAGGGUCAUUUUUCAUUGAGAUAACGAAUAAAUUUCAUGAAGCUUAUUUACUUCCUAGAUAACAAAUUAUAUCUGUUGUAAUUUUAUAUUUAUUUACUUAUUUAUUUUUGUACUGGGGAUUGAACCCGGGGGUAUUUUACCACUGAGCUACAUUCC